rnacentral:rRNA from 1 species
AACGAACGCUGGCGGCGCGCCUAAUACAUGCAAGUCGAGCGAGAAGACGUAGCAAUACGUUUGUAAAGCGGCGAACGGGUGAGGAAUACAUGGGUAACCUACCCUCGAGUGGGGAAUAACUAGCCGAAAGGUUAGCUAAUACCGCGUACGCUCCUUGGACUUCGGUUCAGGGAGGAAAGCGAUACCGCGGGUAUCGCGCUCCUGGAUGGGCUCAUGUCCUAUCAGCUUGUUGGUGAGGUAACGGCUCACCAAGGCUUCGACGGGUAGCUGGUCUGAGAGGACGAUCAGCCACACUGGCACUGCGACACGGGCCAGACUCCUACGGGAGCAGCAGUAAGGAAUAUUGCGCAAUGGGCGAAAGCCUGACGCAGCGACGCCGCGUGGGGGAUGAAGGUCUUCGGAUUGUAAACCCCUUUCGGGAGGG